UACGUAGGGUGCAGGCGUUAAUCGGAAUUACUGGGCGUAAAGCGUGCGCAGGCGGUUAUAUAAGACAGAUGUGAAAUCCCCGGGCUCAACCUGGGACCUGCAUUUGUGACUGUAUAGCUAGAGUACGGUAGAGGGGGAUGGAAUUCCGCGUGUAGCAGUGAAAUGCGUAGAUAUGCGGAGGAACACCGAUGGCGAAGGCAAUCCCCUGGACCUGUACUGACGCUCAUGCACGAAAGCGUGGGGAGCAAACAGG
rnacentral:rRNA from 1 species